rnacentral:rRNA from 1 species
AGACGGAGGGUCCUAGCGUUGUUCGGAAUGACUGGGCGUAAAGGGUACGUAGGCGGUUUGGUCAGUUAGACGUGAAAGCCCAGGGCUCAACCUUGGAACUGCAUUUAAUACUGCCAAACUUGAGAUCGGAAGAGGAAAGCGGAAUUUCUAGUGUAGAGGUGAAAUUCGUAGAUAUUAGAAGGAACAUCAGAGGCGAAGGCGGCUUUCUGGUCCGAUACUGACGCUGAGGUACGAAAGCGUGGGGAGCAAACAGGAUUAGAAACCCUAGUAGUCC